AGAGAUCGGUGAAGUAUGCACGUCGGCGAGCGUGGGGCGGGGGGAGCGGCCGGGGCACGCGUGGCUCGGACCCCGGGAGUGGGUGGGUGGUGCCCGUGGGCGGAGCGGCUCCGGGUCUGAGUGGCUGGCAGCUUAUGUCUGCGAGAGCAGCAGCAUCACCCGGGAGCGAAGCUCCGAGACUCCGCCUAACUGACACCCAAACUCUCCCUCUCCCUCCCGCAGCCCCAAACUGGAGGCAGCGGAGCCCGCGAGCGAGCAGCGUCGGGCGGCCCCGGCCCGGCCCCGCCCCCGGCCCGCCAGCCCAGCCCGCGCCCGGCCGCGCUCCGGAGCUCAGCGCCAGCCCUCGCCCCCUCGCCGUGCCUCCGCCUGCCCGCCCCCGCCGGCCAAGGCUGGGCUGCGGGAGGCGGCCGGGCGGCCCCGAGCCUCGCCAGGGCGACCCAAACAAAGGCAGCAUCCGGGCUCGGCGGGAGGCAGAGCAUCAUGAGAGACUGGGUCCUCGCUGUCCCCGGCUCCGCUGCUGCUGCCGCUGCCGCCGCCGCCGCCGCCGCCGCUGCCGCUGCCGCCGCCAGGAGGGCUUCGCUGUGAGCGUUGGAAAGCAGGGGCGCAGCUGCGGGGCGUGAAUCCGAAAGGUGAGAGCCAGAGCCAGCGAGCCGAGGGGGCGGGCAGGCCACGAAAAAUGUCCUCGGCCGUGGGGCCCCGAGGUCCUCGCCCACCCACGGUGCCUCCCCCUAUGCAAGAACUGCCCGACCUGAGCCACCUGACCGAGGAGGAGAGGAACAUUAUCAUGGCAGUGAUGGACCGGCAGAAGGAAGAGGAGGAAAAAGAAGAGGCCAUGCUCAAGUGUGUUGUCAGGGACAUGGCGAAGCCUGCUGCCUGCAAAACACCAAGAAAUGCUGAAAGCCAGCCCCAUCAACCACCACUGAACAUUUUCAGAUGUGUCUGUGUUCCCAGAAAGCCAAGCAGCGAAGAGGGAGGCCCAGAAAGAGACUGGAGAUUGCAUCAACAGUUUGAAAGCUACAAGGAGCAAGUGAGAAAAAUCGGAGAGGAAGCGAGGCGUUACCAGGGCGAGCACAAGGAUGAUGCCCCGACGUGUGGAAUCUGUCAUAAGACAAAGUUUGCUGAUGGAUGUGGCCAUCUCUGCUCCUAUUGUCGCACCAAGUUCUGUGCACGCUGCGGAGGCCGUGUGUCUCUGCGAUCGAACAAUGAGGACAAAGUGGUUAUGUGGGUAUGCAAUUUAUGUCGAAAGCAACAAGAAAUCUUAACGAAAUCUGGAGCGUGGUUCUUUGGAAGUGGCCCUCAGCAGCCUAGUCAAGAUGGGACUCUGAGUGACACGGCCACAGGUGCUGGAUCUGAGGUGCCAAGAGAAAAGAAAGCAAGGCUCCAAGAGCGAUCAAGGUCUCAGACGCCCUUGAGUACAGCAGCUGUCUCUUCCCAAGACACUGCUACCCCCGGUGCACCGUUGGACAGGAACAAAGGGGCUGAGCCCUCACAGCAAGCCUUGGGUCCUGAACAGAAGCAGGCAUCAAGAUCAAGAAGCGAGCCACCGAGGGAAAGGAAGAAGGCUCCAGGGCUUUCAGAGCAGAAUGGCAAGGGAGGCCAGAAGAGCGAGCGCAAACGUGUCCCCAAGUCUGUGGUGCAACCCGGGGAAGGGAUCGCGGAUGAGAGGGAGAGGAAAGAGAGGCGGGAAACCCGCAGGUUGGAGAAAGGGCGCUCCCAGGACUACUCAGACCGGCCUGAGAAACGCGACAAUGGCAGGGUGGCGGAAGACCAGAAGCAGAGGAAGGAGGAGGAGUACCAGACUAGGUACCGCAGCGACCCUAACCUGGCUCGCUACCCGGUGAAGGCGCCGCCAGAGGAGCAGCAGAUGCGCAUGCACGCCCGGGUGUCCCGAGCGAGGCACGAGCGGCGCCACAGCGACGUGGCGCUCCCGCACACCGAGGCAGCUGCCGCCGCGCCGGCUGAGGCCACGGCGGGCAAGCGCGCGCCGGCCACCGCCAGGGUCUCUCCCCCGGAGUCCCCGCGCGCACGCGCGCCCGCCGCCCAGCCUCCCACCGAGCACGGGCCACCGCCGCCGCGGCCAGCCCCGGGUCCCGCAGAGCCACCCGAGCCGCGCGUCCCCGAGCCGCUCCGUAAGCAGGGCCGCCUGGACCCGGGCUCGGCCGUGCUUCUGCGCAAGGCCAAGCGCGAGAAGGCGGAGAGCAUGCUGCGGAACGACUCGCUGAGCUCCGAUCAGUCCGAGUCCGUGCGGCCAUCCCCGCCCAAGCCUCACCGGCCCAAGCGGGGAGGCAAGAGACGUCAGAUGUCGGUGAGCAGCUCGGAGGAGGAGGGCGUGUCCACACCGGAGUACACGAGCUGCGAGGACGUGGAGCUGGAGAGCGAGAGCGUGAGCGAGAAAGGUGACUUGGAUUACUACUGGUUGGAUCCCGCCACGUGGCACAGCAGGGAAACGUCGCCUAUCAGUUCGCAUCCUGUAACGUGGCAGCCGUCUAAAGAGGGAGAUCGACUAAUCGGCCGUGUUAUUCUUAACAAAAGAACAACCAUGCCCAAAGAAUCAGGUGCAUUAUUGGGUCUGAAGGUGGUUGGAGGAAAAAUGACGGACUUAGGGCGCCUUGGUGCUUUCAUCACCAAAGUAAAGAAGGGCAGCCUGGCAGACGUCGUCGGACACCUAAGAGCAGGGGACGAAGUCCUAGAGUGGAAUGGUAAACCCCUGCCGGGAGCAACAAACGAAGAAGUUUACAACAUUAUCUUAGAAUCAAAAUCAGAACCUCAAGUUGAGAUUAUUGUUUCAAGGCCUAUUGGUGACAUCCCCAGGAUCCCUGAGAGUUCCCAUCCUCCCCUGGAGUCCAGUUCAAGUUCCUUUGAAUCUCAGAAAAUGGAAAGGCCUUCUAUUUCUGUUAUUUCUCCAACCAGCCCUGGAGCUCUGAAAGAUGCCCCACAAGUCUUACCAGGGCAACUCUCAGUGAAGCUAUGGUAUGAUAAAGUGGGGCACCAGCUGAUUGUAAAUGUUCUACAAGCAACAGAUCUACCCCCUAGAGUAGAUGGCCGUCCCAGGAAUCCCUAUGUAAAAAUGUAUUUUCUUCCAGAUAGAAGCGACAAAAGUAAAAGGAGAACCAAAACAGUAAAGAAACUUCUAGAGCCAAAAUGGAACCAGACAUUUGUCUACUCACACGUACAUCGUAGAGAUUUUCGAGAGCGAAUGUUAGAGAUUACCGUGUGGGACCAGCCGAGAGUACAGGACGAAGAGAGUGAAUUUCUUGGAGAGAUCCUCAUAGAGUUGGAAACAGCGCUUUUAGAUGAUGAGCCCCAUUGGUAUAAACUCCAGACACAUGACGAAUCUUCACUACCUCUGCCUCAGCCAUCACCGUUCAUGCCCAGGCGGCAUAUUCAUGGAGAGAGCUCCAGCAAAAAGCUACAAAGAUCUCAGCGAAUCAGUGAUAGUGACAUCUCAGAUUAUGAGGUUGAUGAUGGUAUUGGAGUAGUGCCUCCAGUGGGUUAUAGAGCUAGUGCUAGAGAGAGUAAAGCAACCACGUUAACAGUGCCAGAGCAACAAAGAACUACACAUCACCGCUCACGUUCCGUGUCUCCUCAUCGCGGCGAUGAUCAGGGAAGGCCUCGUUCACGUUUACCAAAUGUGCCAUUACAGAGGAGCUUAGAUGAAAUUCAUCCAACACGAAGGUCACGUUCUCCAACCCGACACCAUGAUGCCUCCCGAAGCCCGGCCGAUCACAGAUCCAGACAUGUGGAAAGUCAAUAUUCGUCAGAGCCAGACAGUGAGCUUCUCAUGCUGCCCAGAGCAAAACGAGGACGAAGUGCAGAAAGCCUACACAUGACCAGUGAACUGCAGCCCUCUCUUGACAGGGCUAGGAGUGCUAGUACCAACUGCUUGAGACCAGAUACUAGUUUGCAUUCACCAGAACGAGAAAGGGGUAGAUGGUCCCCCUCCCUAGAUAGGAGGCGACCUGCUAGCCCCAGGAUUCAAAUCCAGCAUGCAUCUCCGGAGAAUGACAGGCACUCCAGAAAGUCUGAAAGAUGUAGCAUCCAAAAACAGUCUAGGAAAGGCACAGCCUCUGAUGCAGACAGGGUUCUCCCACCAUGCCUUUCUAGAAGGGGAUACGCAACCCCAAGAGCAACCGAUCAACCGGUCGUUAGGGGAAAGCAUCCCACUCGUUCACGGUCGAGCGAGCACUCUAGUGUCAGAACCCUGUGUUCUAUGCACCACCUUGCCCCCGGAGGGUCGGCGCCACCUUCUCCACUUCUGACAAGAACGCACCGACAAGGAAGCCCAACCCAGUCUCCUCCAGCAGACACAUCCUUCGGCAGUCGCCGUGGAAGACAGCUCCCACAGGUGCCAGUUCGAAGCGGCAGUAUAGAACAAGAACAAGAAAAAUGUUACUCUUCCACUAAAGGUAAAUAUCAAUGUAACUUCUACCCAUUCAUACUGUUACUUUUAUCAUGUGUAAGAGUUAUGAUACUGUCAGAUUAAUGACCAAAGUUAUUUAACAAGUAGUUAUUUCUCUGAUAUUUCACAGGCCGUUAUUUCUCUGAGGUGAUUUUGCCACUUAUUAAUUCUUUCAUAGUAAACAGAUUCAUGUUAUACAACUCAUAUCAAGGAGGGAGACAUCUUAAGACUAAAAUUAACAGUGACACACUCAUUACUUAUCCCUGGGUCGCCUUCGUGUAAUUCCAUAUCCCCGGGUUGCAUGUAUGGUACAUAAAUGAAAGUCCCUACAUCUUAUUGUCUAGAUAGAACGGGCUUCGUAGGAUUUCUCACCCUCACUGCAGUCAGGCGUGCUUGGAGCAGCUAACUCAAUCAUGUAGAGCUCCAGGCUUCAGUAUUGUUGGAGUAUUAAUCCUAUUCAUCUGAGAGAUACAGGAUACACAUAAUUCAGUAUUCAGCCAACUCAGCCCUUGAGACAAUUUCUCUUCUCCCCUUUGACUUUUGAGUGACAGCCUAUGUUUGAUCUUUGCCCUUAAUUUUCAAGUGAGUCUCUGGCUUCCACUCUGGACUUUUGUACUGCCCACAUCACUUCUUACUCUGAAUUAUUUUAGGCCCGAUUAUUAGUUUUUUAAAAUAUAAAUUUAUAAAUCGCUCUAAUAGUGUUUUAAUCACACUUUAAUUGUGUGAUGUUUAUAGGUAUAUUUAUUGGGUAUUUAAAGGCAGUUUGAACUGAUUUGUUUAUUUUAGUAAUUCUCAAAGCUAAUCGUGAUCACAGCACCAUCUAUAUUCAGAAUAUCUACCCUGGGGGUUGGAAAAAAUAUAUCAGUGCUUGAGAACUUGUUCUGCUCUCGAAAAGGUACUGAGUUCAGCUCCCAACAUUCACAUUAAGCAGAGCACAACCACCUAUAGGUCUAGUUUCAUCACACAGUUCUCUCAUCUGAACUCUGUGUGUCUGCACACAAGUGGUACACACACACACACAAACACACACAUGUACACACAGAAACACACACACAAACACACACACAAACACACACACAAACAUACACAUACACAUACACACACAAAUACACACACAUGUACACACACACAAACACACACAAACACACAUACACACACAAACACACAUACACACAAACACACAUACACACACAAACACACACACACACACACAAAAUAAGAGAGCCUUGCCCUUUACUCAUUAUCAGUAGUAGAGAACUAAAAGGUGUUUUCUUCAGUUUCUUUCACUAUACUUUGAGAAUCCUGUUUUAAAAAACUCCAAUACCAAAUGCUAUACUCUUGACUCUUAAUAUACCUGGGAUAUGUUGUGGAUCUCAGGAUGGUAGAUAAUAUCCAAUAAUUCAGUCUUCAAUACUACUUGAUAAGCAACAGAUAAUAUUGUUUAGUCUAAUCUUAUAAUGAAUAGAAUUAAACGUCAGGCACAUAAAGUACAUAUUUGAGCAUACCAUUUGACAUAUUUACGUCAAACAGUAGCUAAAGCAAAAGGUUCUUCAGUGAAAUGAAGAAGCUGUUAUCCUGGGUUUCAGUACACUCACAAACAUCUUCUAUCCUUGUUCUACAUAUCAGAAGCAACUUUACAUUCAAUACUACAGAAGUGACUGGUCCUUUCUCUUAGAUUCAGAGGAAUAUGUCUAGAUUUGCAAGGCUAACAACAUGGUAAAAAGUACUUUGAAUUUUAUAUUGUAAGCAUCUCUAAUAUAUUUUCCCAAAGAUUCAGAGCAACAGCUUAUUAGAAGAGCAGGUGAUCAGAGGUUUUCUGUUAUUAUCAACUAAAAGCCACAGGUAGCUACUGCAAAGUCUCACUGUGACACAACAGAAUGUUUGCUUUUUUAACAAAGAAUGACUACCCUAAUACCUUGCUACAGACCACAUCGUAUGUUAAUGUUCUCAUGGUUCAGUAUGCCCUGACUGACAGGCGGUAGACCCAGCUGAGCCGCUGAGCUAGGGUGUAGAUAAGCCUCACAGAACACACUGUGUAACUGGAAUCAACGAAAGGAACACAUGUGACAGUUCAUCCAGCAAGACUCAGCAGCUAAGGGUGGUGUCUUCCUCUUAUAGGGUCUGAGGCAGCAUAGUUUAGCCACUGACAGUGACCCUCAGCCCAGAAGGAAUUAAAGCAAGUUCAGAUUUUCUUUUCAAAGACACAUUUGAGGCUGAAAAGAAGAGAAAAUGCUUUAUCUAUAAUCUGUAGUCCCUCUUCUAUAAUCAUUAAGAGAGAAUUCAUGUGGUUCGAAUGCUUGCUCCCCAAGAAAAUGAGCGAUGGGACUGACCAAACUUUACUGGCUGCAAAGGUCAAUAAACUCAUCGGUUUGCUUCUGUUUUGAUGAUAUGUAGACGAAAUUAGCUUGCAGCUGAAAACCCCAGUUUUUCUGAAAUGAUGCAACACUUACAGUGCUAAGAUUGUAACUGUUCUGGGAAGACAGUUGUCCAAUCUACCUAUAGAGAACUGUCUUAGUAAUGUCCCAGAGCAUAAUCAACGAUGAACAAAAUUCAUCAUUCCCUACAUAUUGAUCACUCGACUAAGAGUGUCACGCAUUGCCUCAUAUUGACACAACGACCCAGAAUAGAAGUAUUAAUAUUCUCUACUUUCUAACUGAGGCACCCAAAGCUUCAGGAGAUUGAAAACCUGAACCCUCGUUGGUCACCCACUUGAUACAUGGUGAGCCUAACUCUGAGGACCCUGCUCAAACUCCCUGGAACAGACAUUCCAAUACCCUGUUUAUUGGGUGCUUACCAAGCACCCGGAGUAGCAUCUAAAUAGCGCUCACAUGCAUAGAAAGGCAGUCUUAAGGACUUUCUCAGGUGCUGUGAGGUGGUCCCAGAUUUUGACCGUAGUGUGUGUUCUGUCCUCUUUGCUCUAUAAAGAUGCAACAGAUUCUUUCAUGACACGACAUGAUGGUCUUGGAGACCACUCAGUCUUCAUGCAUCCACUUACUAAUUCAGCUGUGGACCACUCAGCUGUGCCUGGUUUCUCCUUAAAUCACCCAUGCAACACCAUCACUACCACCACCACCACCACCAACAAUGAAUCAGACCCUUUAAAUCUGAAUAGAUAUCACAACUGGGCUUGAAAAUUCAGGUGAAGAGUUAUAAAUAUUCACACAACUUAAUUUACCUUUGACUCCUUCUGUGUUGAAAGCUGAGAGAUGUUAUCAUUUUAGGUUUCACAGACUGCUUUUAAAGGCCUAUUUUUUUAACCGUUCAUUCUGAAAGUAAGCCAAUUUUUUCCCUCUCUGGUACAUUUCUUGGACAGUUUUAAAGAGCCCAUGAAUGUAGUUUGGGGGAUCGAAAUAAUGAUAAACGAAGAUCAAAAGUGAACCAGAAAUUAAAUGACUUCAAGCAAGCUUAGUAGUGGAGGAGCGAACGAGACAGAUGAAAAUGAAAGUUCACCGAUUUAAGCAGACAACAGGGUCUGGGUCUAGUCAAGAACUUGACCACGAGCAAUACUCCAAGUACAACAUACAUAAAGAUCAGUAC